rnacentral:rRNA from 1 species
GGAGUUUGAGCCUGGCUCUCAGCGAACGCUGGCGGCGUGCUUAACACCUGUGCUUCGAGUGCGCGUCUGUGCCAACUUCUAUGGCGCACGGCUUACGGGUGCUUACCACGUGGGUAAUCUGCGCUUCGAUGGGGAAUAACUCCGGGAAACCGAAGCUAAUUCCGCAUAACAUUCCUUGAACCUCGGUUUAAGGAUUCAAAGCCGUAAGGCGUCGGAGGAGGAACCCGCGCACGAUUAGCUAGUUGGUAGGGUAACGGCCUACCAAGGCUUUGAUCGUUAGCUGGUCUGAGAGGAUGGCCAGCCACACUGGAACUGAGACACCGUCCCCACUCCUACGGGAGGCAGCAGUGGGGAAUCUUGCACAAUGGGCGAAAGCCUGAUGCAGCGACGCCGCGUGGGGGAUGAAGCUUUUCGGAGUGUAAACCCCUUUCGACCCGGACGAAUACCUCGCAAGAGGGGUGACGGUACGGGUAUAAGAAUGCCCAGCUAACUACUUGCCAGCAUCCGCGAUAAGACGUGCGAGGCCAGCGUUGCUCGGAAUUACUGCGUGUAAAUGGUUCGUAUGCUGUGUAGCUAGUGCGGGAGUGACAUCUCUGGGCUCGACCCACAGACUGCUUACUGUACUGCUGUGCUUGAGUGUGUGAGACGCUCGUGCCAUUGCAGGUGUACCGGAUGAAAUGCGUCCAUAUCUGCAUGGAUCACCGUGGGGAAACGGGGCGCUGGACCCUGCUGACUCUCAGGAUUCAGCUAGGGAGCAACAGAUUACAUACCCCGUAUCCCAGCCGUAAUCCAUCAUGACUUGUGGUGCUUCACCUCUGCCUCGUCCUGACUACCGUCAGUACUGACCUGGCGAGUAUGUCGCAGACUGAACUCAACAAUGAUUGCG